CCUGCCCCGACGCCUGGGCUCCACGCCUUUGAAGCCACCGGAGGAGCCGCGUCGUCCUUAAGAGUCCCAGGAGCCUUGGAUGGGCCCGGCCCUGCAGACCCCAACAGGGCCCUUGCUCCCCGGCCUCUUCAGUUUCCAGAACUGGUCAAGCCUGUUUCCACCGCCAGGAGUUUGCUCUGUGUUCUGCCCGCCUCUGUCUGGCUAACUUCUCUCAGAGGAGACUCACCUGGUCCCCGAGGAGAAGCCAGGCCCGUUCAUCAUUAUCCUCAGAUCCUUGUGGCUCUCACCGUGGUUUGUAAUUGCACUGGAAUUCACAUAAGUGUGGCCUAGAUCUGCCUUUGUCACUAGACCGUGAGUUCUGUGGGGCCAAGUCUGGUUCCUGCCACUUUCCGGGACCCAGAGCACUUCCUGGUACACCACAGGCAUUUGGUGUAUAUCUGCCCAGUAAAUGAGCAAAGGACUGGAAAUUGUUAAUUAUUUAUCAGCGUUAACCGGACUUUCCCAGACUGAAGAAUUGGGCGAGGGGUGGGACCUGUUCAAUGCAGGGAGUCUCUCAUUUCUGACUCCAGCUUCCCACUGGCAGGACUUGAUUUCAGUGGGUGCACAAAACAGACUUAUUUUAAGACAGUUAAGUUUACCCAAAUAUUGCUCAGAAUUGGGCCUCAGAGCUAGAGCUUUCCGGGUAGUAAUGCAAUUCCAGUGCCUCUUUCCAGGGUCUCAGUGAUUCUGUGUGUGAUCUUAAUGUUUGGCUAAGGCAGUAAUUCCUGAACCUGAGCCACAAGCAGAGGCUCACGUUUCUGCUGCAGAAUGUUCCCAGCUUGCUUCCCGAAGGCCCUUCCGGAAGCCUAGCGUGUAACUUGGAGUCUCUCCUGCGUGAAUGCAGAUUGACUCUCAGCCUUUUUCCUUCCAGUUCUUCAAGGUCUGCGAUUCUGGUGACCACAGGACCUGUUGCACCUCCGGUGGCGUGUGACACACACGCAUCCUGAGCACGCCAGCAGUGCCCUUCGGCCCCCCUGCUGUAAAGUGUGGUGACUCCAGGUGCGUUGUGACAUCACCAACAGAGGACUGUCUGGUGGGUCCCGAGGCCCCCUCCCUGCGGGUAUCCAAGUGCUGGAAUUAGAAGCGAAGGUCCACGAUCUGAAAACCAGAGCGGAUCAGCCGGACGCGGAAACACCUGACGCCCGACAGAGGAAGUCAGAGCCAGGCUUCUGACGGAUAAACGAGGCGGGCCGGUCCAGCGUGCGCAGUGGCUGUGUUUCCCUAACGCCCACCUGGCCAGUGAAUUAUGCCCGCCUCCACCGGUGACCGUCGUGGUGGCAGACACACCAGGGGAGCCGCGCACACACGAAUUCUCCAGCUGACCAUUCAUAAACGUUAAUCGCGAAAGCGAGUCAGUCAAAAAAGCAAGCUCCGGAGGUGGGGGGCGGCUCUCUGUAAAACACGGAGUUAAACUCAGGAUUGGAAAGUG